CAGAGUUCAUGCCCUUACGGGUAGAUCUCCCACCCUUUGAUAUAUUUACCUUUGUUGCUUUGGCAGGUCGCGGCCUCCCGCUGCUGGCCCUUGGGCUAGUACGUACCUGCCAGAGGACCCAACUCUUGAUAUUAGUGAUGUCUGAGUACUAUAUAAUAGUUA
rnacentral:misc_RNA from 1 species